rnacentral:rRNA from 1 species
AGAGUUUGAUCCUGGCUCAGGAUGAACGCUGGCGGCGUGCUUAACACAUGCAAGUCGAACGGACCCAUAUUGAAACCUAGUGAUAUAUGGGUUAGUGGCGGACGGGUGAGUAACGCGUGGGUAACCUGCCUUACACAGGGGGAUAACACUUAGAAAUAGGUGCUAAAACCGCAUAAGCGCACAGCUUCGCAUGAAGCGGUGUGAAAAACUCCGGUGGUGUAAGAUGGACCCGCGUCUGAUUAGCUUGUUGGCGGGGUAACGGCCCACCAAGGCGACGAUCAGUAGCCGGCCUGAGAGGGCGGACGGCCACAUUGGGACUGAGACACGGCCCAGACUCCUACGGGAGGCAGCAGUGGGGAAUAUUGCACAAUGGGGGGAACCCUGAUGCAGCAAUGCCGCGUGGGUGAAGAAGCACUCCGGUGCGUAAAGCCCUGUCAGCAGGGAAGAAAAUGACAGUACCUGGACAAGAAGCCCCGGCUAACUACGUG